rnacentral:rRNA from 1 species
UACAGAGGUCUCAAGCGUUGUUCGGAUUCAUUGGGCGGAAAGGGUGCGUAGGUGGCGCCGUAAGUCAGGUGUGAAAUUUCGGAGCUUAACUCCGAAACUGCAUUUGAUACUGCGGUGCUUGAGGACUGGAGAGGAGACUGGAAUUUACGGUGUAGCAGUGAAAUGCGUAGAGAUCGUAAGGAAGACCAGUGGCGAAGGCGGGUCUCUGGACAGUUCCUGACACUGAGGCACGAAGGCCAGGGGAGCAAACGGG